rnacentral:rRNA from 1 species
AUUGAACGCUGGCGGCAGGCCUAACACAUGCAAGUCGAACGAGUGGCGGACGGGUGAGUAAUGUCUGGGAAACUGCCCGAUGGAGGGGGAUAACUACUGGAAACGGUAGCUAAUACCGCAUACAAUCGGACGUGCCCAGAGUGGAUUAGUUCGUACGUGGGGUAACGGGUCACCUAGGCGACGAUCCCUAACUGAGCUGAGGUGAUGACCAGCCACACUGGAACUGAGACACGGUCCAGACCCUGCCGGGAGGCAGCAGUGGGAAAUAUUGCACAAUGGGCGCAAGCCGGGUGCAGACAAGCCGCGUGUAUGAAGAAGGCCUUCGGGUUGUAAAGUACUUUCAGCGAGGAGGCGUUACUCGCAGAAGAAGCACCGGCUAACUCCGUGCCAGCAGCCGCGGUAAUUC